rnacentral:lncRNA from 1 species
CCUGCUGUCGAUCUGGGGUCUCGUCUGCUUGAGCCUCCUCACGUCCUGUUCCAAAUAAAAUAUUAAUUUCCCAACCAAUAAUCCAAUAUUUAAAUCAAAAUAGGCAAAAUUACCCGAGAGCCAUAAUUACGCUCAUCAUUGCCUAACUUUGAUAUUCUUACAUCGGAACGAUCCGAACUUAAAUAUCAUACUCCACAGUCGUAAAUACAACCUCUCCAAAAUAUGACUUAAAUCCUACGGCCGGAUUCUACAUUAAUUAACCGCCAAAAAUACCAAACUUCGGAAAUUCACAAACCUAUCCAAAUCUCAUCCAAAAAUUCCAUAAAUCACACCAAUAUACUCUUCUUAAUAUUCUACAUUUAAAACCCUAAAAAUCUCUUAACCGGCGGCGGCGCCGCCGGCAGCGGCGGCCGGCAGCCGUUUUCCGGCGACCUCCUAUGCUCACCAAAAAUUGGCAGCAUCUUCCUCUCAACCUCCUCUACAACAUUCCUAACUACCACAAACUCCAAUUCUAAGCCUAACCAUGUCGAUCGAACACAAACAACCAUAAAUCCCUAAAAACUUUCAAUUAAACAAACCUCCCUAACGAAAUCGAAUUUAGCCGAAACCUUUUGAGGGAUUACUCACCUAGAUGAGGGCUACAAGUUGAGCCAAAAAUCACGACCUAUGGUGGCCGGAAGACGGAGCUCCGGCGAAGGGACAGUCGGCGGUUCCGGCGGCUUUUCUCCUCUUCCGGCGGGUUAGAGGCUCGGGGGCUAGGCCGGGGAGGGAGAGGAGGAGAUGGGGGUCCGAGCUGGGGUGGAGCGGCGGCCGGUGGAUGGCCGGACGGCGGCAGUCGACGGCUGGAAGUCCGGCGGGAAGAGAGAGCUCGGGGAGAGGAAAAGAAAAGAGGAAAAAAAAGAGAAAGGGAGGAAGAAAAAAAAUGGGUUGGGCCUCCACCGGUCCAACCUAUCAACCCAAUUCCAAAAAAAAUGAAACACCCCGAAUAAAAAUUACCUUUUACUAGCUAAAAUUUACCAAUUUUUACCGUCGUCGUAUUUUCCCCAUACGAAUAAUCCUCCGCACAUAAUCGUCCCCGAAACCCCUUUAGGGACCAAUUAAACUAUUUACACAAUGACGGAGACGGUAAAAUUCUUAUUAUAAUCAGGCUAGUAAAUAAGGUAAAAAUAUAAGGGUCGGGAUGUGACAAUUCUCCCCUC